rnacentral:lncRNA from 1 species
CAAACUCAGGACCUUGUGCUGCACCGGAACCACUGAGCUAAAUCCCUGGCCAAGCUUCCUCCUUCUGAGUUCAUCUAAAGGGCAGGCAGGCCAGCGGAAUUGUGCUUACAGCCUCAAGAUUCAUUAGCAAAUUCUGUGAUUUGGAAUGUGUAUCAUGUGCUAGGCACUAAUAUCCCAUCUUCACGGGGGAAGAAAACACAGAAAAGCAAGUAUAUACUUAAUUUUUUUGUUUCAAUGUUGGAUACUAAGUUCAGAGACGAUACAUGCAACAAGGUAAGGUGGGUAAGAAGUAUGAGUGGUCAUAAGUGGGGCUUUACUGAAGAAGCAACAGUAGAUCUGAAGAAGCAAGAGCAUAAACAGUGCAGAUACCAAAGAUGAGAAGCGUCAUGAGGUUCUAAGGAAUUGAUAUUUAGAAAAUCUUAGAUUCGUGGACUGUGUUUCAUUUUGGGAUCCCUUGUGUAUGUUUUCUUAUUUUAC